rnacentral:rRNA from 1 species
CGGUUACACGACAGACCCAAAAUAAUACUAACGGCGUAAAGCACGACUAAAAAUUAAGUCAAAACAUUAGGAACGAAGCCAAACCGGGCUGUAAAAAGCCAUAAGCCACACUAACCACACCCUAAUAACAAACAUCUUCAACUCGUGAAAGUUAGGAUACAAACUAAGAUUAGAUACCCUACUAUGCCUAACCGUAACACAACAAUUAAAUUACCAAUUGUUCGCCAAAUAACUACGAGUAAAAACUUAAAAUUUAAAAGACUUGACGGUGCCUCAAAACAACCUAGAGGAGCCUGUCUAAUAACCGAUACCCCACGAUUAACCCAACCCGCCCUAGCCUGACAGUCUAUAUACCGCCGUCGCCAGCCUACCUUGUGAAAGUAACAAAGUGAGCUUAAUAGUUAUACACUAACACGACAGGUCGAGGUGUAACUAAUGGGCGGGCUCAAGAUGGGCUACAUUUUCUAAACCAGAAAACACGAAUUAACCUAUGAAAAAGAAACUGAAGGCGGAUUUAGUAGUAUGUUAGGAACAACAAACCUAACAGAAAUCAACGCAAUGAGGUGCGUACACACCGCCCGUCAUCCCUGCCAACCAACAACUAAAAAAUACAUAAACCAAAACUAACCACUAAGCAGGGCAAGUCGUAAC